rnacentral:rRNA from 1 species
UACGUAGGGUGCGAGCGUUGUCCGGAUUUAUUGGGCGUAAAGGGCUCGUAGGCGGCGUGUCGCGUCGGGGAGUGAAAGCCCGCUGCUUAACGGCGGGUUGGCUUCCGGUACGGGCAUCGCUGGAGUGCGGCAGGGGGAGACUGGAAUUCCUGGUGUAGCGGUGGAAUGCGCAGAUAUCAGGAGGAACACCAAUGGCGAAGGCAGAUCUCUGGGCCGUAACUGACGCUGAGGAGCGAAAGCAUGGGGAGCGAACAGG